rnacentral:rRNA from 1 species
GACAGAGGGUGCAAACGUUGUUCGGAAUUACUGGGCGUAAAGCGCGUGUAGGCGGUCUUCUAAGUCGGAUGUGAAAGCCCCGGGCUCAACCCGGGAAGUGCACUCGAAACUGGAAGGCUAGAGUAUCGGAGAGGUUGGUGGAAUUCUCGGUGUAGAGGUGAAAUUCGUAGAUAUCAGGAGGAACACCGGUGGCGAAGGCGGUUCUCUGGGCAUUACCUGACGCUGAGGAGCGAAAGUGUGGGGAGCGAACAGG